ACAACCCCUCUGUUCAGCUUCCAGGGGAAGCAGGAGUCUUCUCUGACCUGUAGUCAUAUGCAUAUGCAUAUCCAUAUAGGUGGGGUCAGGGAAGAGAGGACAGCAUCCCUACUUUUCUGAGAACCCACUAAAAAGAGACCUGGGGCUUACAGUUCUGAUUUGAACUCAUUUGCCUUCAGAAUCAGAAAGCAUGUGUGGGCCAAAGCUGAAUUUCCAAUAAUGCCUCUCCCUAUAGAGCAACCACAUGCUUUCUUCAAGAAUGAUGACAUCUGUCUAAUGAGUAAUGAAUUAAAAAGGUAUAUUUUUAAAUGCUGAUAAGGAUUAAGUGAACUAAACAUUGCCACACUCCAUUGAUAGAAGUAUAAACUGGUACUAUUUUUUUGGAAAGCAGCUUGGUAAUAUUCA
rnacentral:lncRNA from 10 species